rnacentral:rRNA from 1 species
GACAGAGGGUGCAAACGUUGUUCGGAAUUACUGGGCGUAAAGCGCGUGUAGGCGGCUCGGCAAGUCGGGUGUGAAAGCCCUGGGCUUAACCUAGGAAGUGCACUCGAAACUGCCAAGCUUGAGUUCUGGAGAGGAAGGCGGAAUUCUCGGUGUAGAGGUGAAAUUCGUAGAUAUUGGGAAGAACACCGAUGGCGAAGGCAGCCAUCUGGACCGACACUGACGCUGAGGCGCGAAAGCGUGGGGAGCAAACAGG